ensembl:snRNA U2 U2 spliceosomal RNA
AUCGCUUCUCGGCCUUUUGGCUAAGAUCAAGUGUAGUAACAGUACUCUGGAUGACACCAUAAAUUUAUACUUUAUUGUUGUUUAUUUUCUCAAAUAACCAAU